rnacentral:misc_RNA from 1 species
AAGUCGUAACAAGGUUUCCGUAGGUGAACCUGCGGAAGGAUCAUUAACACGUAUCCAAACGUUAAACCCCCUGUGAACCUUGAACGUGCUCUUGCUCAACAUAGAUGGAACAGCAAUCCUGGUAAAUCAGUGGGAGGAAUGUUGAUUGAUUUCAGGACCUCUGUUCUACUGUUGUUCAAUCGAGCGCUGGACGCAAACGCUUUCCUGCAGGGGAUUGGGACCCCCAAGCGAUUCACGUGUUGCAAGCAGACACCUGCAUGUGACCAGGAGAGAGACACCCAUCUGCGAGUGUCCAGAAAACCCUCAUUCAGUUCCCUUCCACCGCAAGUGCACCGGUCGUGGAGCGCGUAUCUAAAAACCGAACAACUGUUAACAAUGGAUAUCUCGGUUCUC